rnacentral:lncRNA from 1 species
CACUGACCACUUUUUAUUGAUCUCUUUUCAAGGAUGCUUACUUUUUCUUCUGUCAUCUCCAUUUAUCUAAUAAGUCAAUCCAAUAAUUUUAAAAUUUCAGAUAUUAUUUCUCAGUUCUAGAAUUUCAUCUGGUUCUUUCUUUAAUCACCUUUCUCUGCUGAGAUUUCUUAUUUUUUACUCACUGAAAUCAUGUUUUACUUGACUUCACUGAGGAGAGGUCUCAUAGCUGUUUAGAAUCAUUGUCCGUUACUCCCAGCGUCUGGAACAUCCUGGCAUUGCUUUUCUUCUCUUUUUGAGAAUGUGUUCCAUAUUCUCGGUUGUUCAUAUGAUUGGGUAGUUUUUUAUUGUAGCCUGGACAUUAUAGAUGUUACACUGGAAAUUCUGGAUUCUGUUAUUUUUCUCUCACAAUCAUUGCUUUUUUGUUUGUUUUUGUUUGUUUCAGCAGGCAAUGAUCUUGUCUGCUUGAAUUGCAAAAUCAAUUGUUUUGUCUGACAGCUCCAGUCUCAGUUCAGAUUAUUUUGUCUUUAGAUAUGCUGCUGAGUUUGAUUCACACAUACAUGGUUCAGUGGUCACUCAGACACAUGGGGGAGGCACUUUGGUGAAACCCUCUUGUGCUUUGUCCCACCCAAGAUUCCUCCAUUCUCUUCGGUGGCCAUGAUUUUAUAGUUUCAGGCUUUUCUGGGUAAAGAGACUGCUGUUUUCAAUUAGUGGCCCCUCCAAGACUAUGUACUCUGCAUAGACUACACUGAACCCCGGAAGAGAAGCCAUGAGCACAGGGAACUUACUUGGUGCAGCUCCCCUCAUCUCCUCCUCUGAGCUUUGCUGCAUCAGCUUCUGUCUGCUUUGCUCACUCACCAAUUCACUGAGGCAUUUGCUUUUUAUAUCAUGUCCGGGGCUUAUACUUGUUUUCUGUGGGAAGUCCUCCAGUCAACUAGAUUUUCUCAUGUUAUAAGAAAGUUUUAUAAUUUUGCAUCUUACAUUUGAGUCUGGAUCCAUAUUAAGUUGAAGAGUAUAACAUCUGUGUCUAGAU